AAAAAAACACAGAGCUAUGGGUGAUGAGGAGUGGAUGUCCCGUCUGCGAAGGUUUGCUGCUGUCGGGGUCUGGCCUGCUGAUGCAGGAAACCGGCCGGCACCACGCCAGAAAAAGUGGCACGAUCUGUUUCUGAAGAUUGAGAAAUGCCCAAUGCAGCUCAGGGGUCAAAGGUCGCUGUUUGGAGGGACACAGACAUGUAACUGUGGCUUCCAUAUAAAGAAGCCAUCAGUCUCUGUGUCCUCUUCGGUGACACCACACCCAGG